rnacentral:rRNA from 1 species
UACGGAGGGGGCUAGCGUUGUUCGGAAUUACUGGGCGUAAAGCGCACGUAGGCGGCUUUGUAAGUUAGAGGUGAAAGCCCAGGGCUCAACCCUGGAAUUGCCUUUAAGACUGCAUCGCUUGAACAUCGGAGAGGUAAGUGGAAUUCCGAGUGUAGAGGUGAAAUUCGUAGAUAUUCGGAGGAACACCAGUGGCGAAGGCGGCUCACUGGUCCGGUACUGACGCUGAGGUGCGAAAGCGUGGGGAGCGAACAGG